GAGUAACGCGUAGGUAACCUGCCUACUAGCGGGGGAUAACUAUUGGAAACGAUAGCUAAUACCGCAUAACAGCAUUUAACACAUGUUAGAUGCUUGAAAGGAGCAAUUGCUUCACUAGUAGAUGGACCUGCGUUGUAUUAGCUAGUUGGUGAGGUAACGGCUCACCAAGGCGACGAUACAUAGCCGACCUGAGAGGGUGAUCGGCCACACUGGGACUGAGACACGGCCCAGACUCCUACGGGAGGCAGCAGUAGGGAAUCUUCGGCAAUGGGGGCAACCCUGACCGAGCAACGCCGCGUGAGUGAAGAAGGUUUUCGGAUCGUAAAGCUCUGUUGUAAGAGAAGAACGUGUGUGAGAGUGGAAAGUUCACACAGUGACGGUAACUUACCAGAAAGGGACGGCUAACUACGUGCCAGCAGCC
rnacentral:rRNA from 1 species